UACAGAGGUCCCAAGCGUUGUUCGGAUUCACUGGGCGUAAAGGGUGCGUAGGUGGCCAGGUAAGUUCGGUGUGAAAGCUCGGAGCUCAACUCCGAAAUGUCAUUGAAUACUAUCUGGCUGGAGGGUCGGAGGGGAGACUGGAAUUCUCGGUGUAGCAGUGAAAUGCGUAGAUAUCGAGAGGAACACCAGUGGCGAAGGCGAGUCUCUGGGCCAUUACUGACACUGAGAAGCGAAAGCAUGGGGAGCGAACAGG
rnacentral:rRNA from 1 species